GACAGAGGGUGCAAACGUUGCUCGGAAUUACUGGGCGUAAAGCGCGUGUAGGUGGUCUGGUCAGUCGGACGUGAAAGCCCGGGGCUCAACCCCGGAAGUGCAUUCGAUACUGCCAGGCUGGAGUACUGAAGAGGAGAGCGGAAUUCCCGGUGUAGAGGUGAAAUUCGUAGAUAUUGGGAAGAACACCGGUGGCGAAGGCGGCAACCUGGUCCUUUACUGACGCUGAGGCGCGAAAGCGUGGGGAGCAAACAGG
rnacentral:rRNA from 1 species